AUGAGCGCCGCCCGGUCCCAGUUGAGCACUGAUGAUGCCUUUGAGCUGUCCCUGGAGGACACAGGUCCUGGGCCCGAGUCCAGUGGUGUCACCCGCUUUGGGCCGCUGCACUUCAAGCGCCAGUACCGGUUCGAGGCGGCCGACGAAGACAAGCAAUCCCAGCUGCGCUAUCAGAACGUGCAUAAUGAUGAAGAGGUAGCCCAGCCUUCCUUCUCCAGAAGCAGAUGAGGGAGCCAGCACCAGGGACUCUGCCCGAACAUCCACCCGCAGCUCCCAGUGGUCUUUUAGUACCAGCAGCGGCACCACACAGCGCUCCUACAAUGCCUGCUGCAGCUGGACCCAACACCCCCUAAUUCAGAAGAACUGCCGAGUGGUGCUGGCCUCCUUCCUGCUCUUGCUUCUGGGGCUGGGGCGGAUCCUAAUUGGUGUGGGACUGGAGGUGGCCCCAUCUCCAGCAGGUGUCUCCAGCGCCUUCUUCUUCGUGCCGGGCUCCUGUUGCUGAUCCCGGGAGUCUACCACGUGAUCUUCAUCUACUGCGCCGUCAAGGGCCACUGAGGUUUCCAGUUCUUCUACCUGCCCUACUUCGAAAAAUGA